ACUACCCUAAGUCANGCGGGGCCACCCGCUGAAUUUAAGCAUAA
rnacentral:rRNA from 1 species